AACGAACGCUGGCGGCGUGGAUUAGGCAUGCAAGUCGUACGCGAAAGUCUCCUUCGGGGGAUGAGUAGAGUGGCGAACUGGUGAGUACAAGGUGACUAACCUGCCCUUGAGUGGGGGAUAACUUCGGGAAACCGAAGCUAAUACCGCAUGGUUUCUUGGUCUUUCGGGAUUGAGAAUAAAGCAGUAAUGCGCUCCAGGAU
rnacentral:rRNA from 1 species